GAAAAAAUGCUCAUCAUCACUUGGUACCAGGAAAAUACAAGUCAAAACCACAAUGAUAUAAGUUUUUCACUGUGAAUCAUUUCCAGCCAAUUCUAGACAUAACUCCAUGAAGGUCUUCCAACUUCGUCAGAGAAGCACAAAUGAGCUUAAUACUUUUCCAAAAGUCAAUUAAUAGCUACUUAUCCUCGCUUUCCUCAUAUAAGCAUACUCCUCUCCUGCUAUGAAAUCUUAAACUUCUCCAUAGAAGCUCAAGGAAUGAGCACUGGGAGAUGAAAAUAGCAGACAGGAUUCUGAGAUCCACGUUGGACCAUGCUUGAAAAAAAAUGCUUUGUCUUUAACUAGAACUCAGAAUGAGUCUCU